rnacentral:rRNA from 1 species
CCUUGUAAUGAGGGAAGCUCGCAAGAGCAAGGAUACAGGUGGUGCAUGGUUGUCGUCAGCUCGUGUCGUGAGAUGUUGGGUUAAGUCCCGCAACGAGCGCAACCCUUGUUGUUAAUUGCUAACAGGUUAAGCUGAGCACUUUAGCGAGACAGCCUAGGUUAACUAGGAGGAAGGUGGGGAUGACGUCAAAUCAUCAUGCCCCUUACGUUUAGGGCUACACACGUGCUACAAUGGUGAGAACAGAGAGAAGCAAGCUAGUGAUAGUGAGCAAAACUUAUAAAACUCAUCUCAGUUCGGAUUGCAGGCUGAAACUCGCCUGUAUGAAGAUGGAAUUGCUAGUAAUCGCGAAUCAGAAUGUCGCGGUGAAUACGUUCCCGGGUCUUGUACACACCGCCCGUCACACCAUGAGAGUUGGCAACACCCGAAACCUGUGGGCUAACCAUAUAGGAGGCAGCAGUCUAAGGUGGGGUCAGUGAUUGGGGUGAAGUCGUAACAAGGUAGCCGUAGGAGAACCUGCGGCUGGAUCACCUCCUU